UGCGUAGGUGGUCGGGUAAGUUUAAGGUGAAAGCUCCGGGCUCAACCCGGAAAUGGCCUUGAAUACUAUCCGGCUCGAGGGUUGGAGGGGGGGACGUGGAAUUCUCGGUGUAGCAGUGAAAUGCGUAGAUAUCGAGAGGAACACCAGUGGCGAAGGCGAGUCCCUGGACAACACCUGACACUGAGGCACGAAAGCUAGGGGAGGCAAAACGG
rnacentral:rRNA from 1 species